UCUCACUAGCACGGUGGAGGCAAUGUACGUAACUUCUCCCAUAUGUCAGUCGUUAUGUCGGUUACAACUUAUCGACAGUGCAUUUAAAUAUUAUAGUUGUGUGCUUUAGAACUCCUUGUUAAGACAAACAAUAGUGCAACAUGUGAGGAAGUGAAACACAAAAGCGAUUUUUAGCAAAUGGCAGCUUGCAGCAUUCAGGUCAUAAAGUGGUACAGCAUAGCGGCAAAUUAUCUACACAGGAAAUUCAGAUCUAAAUUUCACUAGGAAGCGGAAGUAUUUUUUAAUCAAAAACUUUUUAUAAACAAAAAAUAAAUUAUAUCCUUGCAUAAAGAAAACAUUUGUGGGUACACCAGGAAAUGUUUACUAGGCACUGAAGCAGCCCAUUCAUGAAGCCCAUCUAGUUUAAGGUUAUUUAGAAUGCGAGGAGCUACCCUUCACUCCACACGGCCGUAAGAAUUUCCGGCGAAACAGUUUCCUAGAGCAGUGGUUCUCAACUUUUAUGAGAUCGCGCCCCAGUGACUGGUUGUCAUGACAGAUUUUUUGUUGUUGUCUGUCAGACAGAAAGGUGACUGAACAUUAGAUACAAAGAAUGUGUAAAAGGUGUGGAGAGCAAUAGUGAAGAAGUGGCAUUGGCAACACAUCCUAAUACAAGUAUAUAGACACAAUUGUGGUGAAAUGGAAUAUACAGUGCAUGGUAAUUUGAAUGAAAUUCAACCCACACAUGGGGAGGAGCGCCAAUAUUUCUGUGAUAAGACUUGUGAUUGAUUCAGUCAAGAGCAAAUUCUGAUAGCCCAUCAACACAUACAUAGUGGGGAGCAGCCAUUUUGUUGCAUCAUGUGUAACAAGUCAUUCAGUCAGCAGAGUAAUCUAGAAGCACACCAAGGCAUACAUAGUGAGGAGAAGCCAUUUUGCUGUAAUGUAUAUAAAAAGUUAUUUAGAAACCAGAGUCAUCUGAAUACACAUCAGCACAUAGUGGCAAAAAGCCAUUUUGUUGUGAUGUAUGUAACAAGUGAUUCAGUGAUCGGAGUAGUCUGAAGACACACCAACGCAUACAUAGUGGGGAGAAGCUAUUUUGCUGUGAUAUAUGUAAAAAGUCAUUCAGUGUGCAGAGUAUUCUCAUGACACAUCAAUGCAUGCAUAGUGGGGAGAAGCCAUUUUGCUGUGAUAUAUGUAAAAAAUCAUUCAUUUUGAACAGUGAUCUGAAGAGGCAUAUGCACAUACAUACAUAGGAAGGAGACAUUUUGCUGUGAUGUGUGUAAAAAGUCGUUUAGAAGGCAGAGUCAUCUGAAGACACAUCACCACAUUCAUAGUUCGGAGAAGCCAUUUUUCUCUGAUGUAUGUAAUAAGUCAUUCAGUCAGCAGAGUAAUCUGAAGACACAUUAACGCAUACAUAGUGGGUAGAAGCUAUUUUGUUGCAUCUUGUAUAAUAGGUCAUUCAGCUGGCAGAGUCAACUUAAAUACAUGAAUGCAUACAUAGUGGCAAAUAGCCAUUUUGCUGUGAUGUAUGUAAUAAGUCAUUCAGUGUGCAGAAUAUUCUCAUGACACAUCAACGCAUACAUAGUGGGGAGAAGCCAUUUUGUUGCAUCGUGUGUAAUAAUUCAUUCAGCUGGCAGAGUCAACUUACGACACAUCAAAGCAUACAUAGUGCAGAGAAGCCUUUUUUGUUGGACCGUGUGUAAUAAGCCAUUUAGUCAGCAGAGUCAACUUAAGAUACAUCAAUGCAUACAUAGUGGGGAGAAGCCAUUUUGUUGUGGUGUACGUAAUAAAUCAUUUUGUCAUCAGAGUCAUCUGAAGAGACAUCAGUGCAUACAUAGUUGGGAGAAACUAUUUUGUUGUGAUGUAUGUAAUAAGCAGG